rnacentral:rRNA from 1 species
GAUGAACGCUGGCGGCGUGCCUAAUACAUGCAAGUCGAGCGAACAGACGAGGAGCUUGCUCCUCUGACGUUAGCGGCGGACGGGUGAGUAACACGUGGAUAACCUACCUAUAAGACUGGGAUAACUUCGGGAAACCGGAGCUAAUACCGGAUAACAUGUUGAACCGCAUGGUUCAACAGUGAAAGACGGUCUUGCUGUCACUUAUAGAUGGAUCCGCGCCGCAUUAGCUAGUUGGUAAGGUAACGGCUUACCAAGGCAACGAUGCGUAGCCGACCUGAGAGGGUGAUCGGCCACACUGGAACUGAGACACGGUCCAGACGCCUGCGGGAGGCAGCAGUAGGGAAUCUGCCGCAAUGGGCGAAAGCCUGACGGAGCAACGCCGCGUGAGUGAAGAAGGUCUUCGGAUCGUAAAACUCUGUUAUUAGGGAAGAACAAAUGUGUAAGUAACUAUGCACGUCUUGACGGUACCUAAUCAGAAAGCCACGGCUAACUACGUG